CUGAGCCCUAAAUCCAUAUGUAAUACAAUUAUGGGAAGCCAAAAAAGAACAGAAGCUGCUCAGAGUGAAACAUAAUGUCCUACAGCACAUGACACACCUUCUUCCUGUCUUUGUGAUAUCCCAGUUACAAGCUAGUUAGAGAAAUGAUAGGGAUUGGGGUAGUGAGAAAAGAAUAGUUGUUUCCUUUGGUGUCUCAGGUAAGAUAUACUGUUAGAGAUAUAGCUAGAAAUAAAACCAACCGGUUCUAGCAGAGAUGACGAUAAUUCUACUUUUGUCAAAUCACCACCAGAGAAAUCUCCUCUCAGUUGAUUAACAUCAUGUGCCGCAGGCUGUUUCUUUCUUUUACUCUAGGUAUAGUGGGAGUAACCCAUUGGCAAGAAAAACUCAUAUUUAGGUGGUAAGGGGAAGGCAGGUAGAGAAAAUGAAGUGUGUCUUUGACACAGUAUGAAUGGAGGUGCUCCCCAUUAGGAAUUGAGCAGGUAGACUGUGUUGAUGAACAUAGAGUAACACGCUGGGAUGGUUGUGGCCACUUGUCUGUCUCAUUGGUCCAUCUCUCCCAGUAUUCCAUUUGAAAUCCUUCUUCAGCCCCUUACCACAGCUUCAGGUUGAUAUUGAAAUACAAUGGUAAUAGUGAGGGUAUUUUAAAAGUGGACUUUAAAGCUGAGUUACAUUAAGAAAUGGGCAUAUCUGGCAAGUUACAGGCACAG
rnacentral:lncRNA from 1 species